UAACAAUUAGACUUAGAUUAUGCACAGGAG
rnacentral:piRNA from 1 species